rnacentral:rRNA from 1 species
UACGUAGGCAGCAAGCGUUGUUCGGAAUUACUGGGCGUAAAGAGUGUGUAGGCGGUGCUCUAAGUUCGGUGUGAAAUCUCCCGGCUUAACUGGGAGGGUGCGCCGGAAACUGGAGUGCUUGAGCGCAGGAGAGGAAAGCGGAAUUCCUGGUGUAGCGGUGAAAUGCGUAGAUAUCAGGAGGAACACCUGUGGUGUAGACGGCUUUCUGGACCGUAGCUGACGCUGAGACACGAAAGCGUGGGUAGCAAACAGG